rnacentral:rRNA from 1 species
AUACGUAGGGUGCGAGCGUUGUCCGGAAUUACUGGGCGUAAAGAGCUCGUAGGUGGUUUGUCGCGUCGUCUGUGAAAUUCCGGGGCUUAACUCCGGGCGUGCAGGCGAUACGGGCAUAACUUGAGUACUGUAGUGGAGACUGGAAUUCCUGGUGUAGCGGUGAAAUGCGCAGAUAUCAGGAGGAACACCGGUGGCGAAGGGGGGUCUCUGGGCAGUAACUGACGCUGAGGAGCGAAAGCAUGGGUAGCGAACAGGAUUAGAUACCCUGGUAGUCCAUGCCGUAAACGGUGGGCGCUAGGUGUAGGGGUCUUCCACGACUUCUGUGCCGUAGCUAACGCAUUAAGCGCCCCGCCUGGGGAGUACGGCCGCAAGGCUAAAACUCA